rnacentral:rRNA from 1 species
GACGAAGGAUGCAAGCGUUAUCCGGAUUCAUUGGGUUUAAAGGGAGCGUAGGUGGCCUUAUAAGUCAGUGGUGAAAUCUCGCAGCUUAACUGCGAAAUUGCCAUUGAUACUGUAGGGCUUGAGUAUAGUUGCCGUCGGCGGAAUAUGACAUGUAGUGGUGAAAUACAUAGAGAUGUCAUAGAACACCGAUUGCGAAGGCAGCUGACGAAACUAUAACUGACACUGAGGCUCGAAAGUGCGGGGAUCAAACAGG